GACGAACGCUGGCGGCGUGCCUAACACAUGCAAGUCGAACGGGUCUAGAUGUUAGACCAUAGACAUUAGACAUUAGACAACAAAAGAUAACCUGAUUGAAGAAACGGAAGCUUAAGCUUGAAAAAGCAGAACGGCUUGGAAGAAACGAAGCAGGUAAAUCUUAAGAAGUCUAACAUCUAAUAUCUAGCGUCUAAUAUCUAGACUAGUGGCGGACGGGUGAGUAACGCGUGAGCAACCUGCCUAACAGAGGGGGAUAACGUAUGGAAACGUACGCUAAUACCGCAUAACAUAUGUUUGUCGCAUGGCAGACAUAUCAAAGGAGCAAUCCGCUGAUAGAUGGGCUCGCGUCCGAUUAGAUAGUUGGUGGGGUAAAGGCCUACCAAGUCAGCGAUCGGUAGCCGGACUGAGAGGUUGAACGGCCACAUUGGGACUGAGACACGGCCCAGACUCCUACGGGAGGCAGCAGUGGGGGAUAUUGCACAAUGGGCG
rnacentral:rRNA from 1 species